rnacentral:tRNA from 1 species
AAAUAAGAAACAAAUUUUGUAAUUAGUUUCGACCUAAUCCUUGGCUAUGAGCCCUUAUUUU